AGAGAGCUCAAGAACCACAGACCCCCGAGGGGCGGGUUCCUCUGCUGGGCAGUGAUAGCCAGCAGAGGGCGCACCAUCUGCUUUUCUGACCCAGGGCACCUCAGAGCAGGAAGGGCUUAGAUUGCUCUCAGAGGACUCAGGCCUCUGCUGGUGCCUCAGUACAGAGAGCAGAGCUGCAUUUCCAGCAGGUUCUGCCACCCGCCCCAGGGGAGACCUUGGGAGCUUAGCAGCAACUUGGCAUCUCCUGAGUCUCCAGAGAGAGGCUGCCUUGUUGUACUGAGUGCUGAGGAGGGCGCGCCGGGUGGCUUCCCUGGUCAAGCUGGUUGCUGAGCUGCACAGGCCUUUGCAUUUUCUGGGCUGUUCCCGUGUUUCAUUCCACCCCUUCCCGGACAGUUUUUGAACAAGACGUAUUUUACUAAAGGACUUGUGGAUGGCGGGGUCCCGCGACAUCACCUCAUAGAUGCAGUCCAUGGUUUGUUCCAGAUCCAGGCUUGUUUCCGGGAAGGAACCCUAACAGAAAUUCAGAAGCACGGGAGCUGCAUUCAAUUAGGACGUGGAUACAUGAAAUGCUCGUCUCACGACCUUCUAGAAGAAUGAGCUGGGACCCAUGUUCCGAGUCUGCUGGAACCAGAGACCAAGAUCCAGGCUUGUUUCCGGGAAGGAACCCUAACAGAAAUUCAGAAGCACGGGAGCUGCAUUCAAUUAGGACGUGGAUACAUGAAAUGCUCGUCUCACGACCUUCUAGAAGAAUGAGCUGGGACCCAUGUUCCGAGUCUGCUGGAACCAGAGACCAAGAUCCAGGCUUGUUUCCGGGAAGGAACCCUAACAGAAAUUCAGAAGCACGGGAGCUGCAUUCAAUUAGGACGUGGAUACAUGAAAUGCUCGUCUCACGACCUUCUAGAAGAAUGAGCUGGGACCCAUGUU